GGAAUCUUUGAUGUUGAUGUCCUCGCGCAUGUCGCCUCGCGCAUCUUGGCCGUGUCUCGUUUCCAGUGCCCUAAACAAGUGUAAUUUGACAAAUUUUCAUGUAAACAUUGAGGAGUGAGAAAGUUAAAACGAUACCAAUCGAGUUUUAGAGCUUUGGUGACCAUUUUAAAAGAAUAUAUCAUAAAUUCAAAGGUAAGUCUAUCGUACUGCAUUGUCUUAAAUGAAUUCUCAGCUAAAAUACGGCAAUAAAUGGAUCAUAAACUUAGCUAAAUUUACUGUUGACAACGAGGUUGACAGAUCCAUUGCUUUGUUGCCUUGAAUAGCUUUACCAUAGUCAUUUUACCUUAAAAUGUAGCUGCUGAGGAUAUCUCUAAGAGAUUUACCAAGAUUAUUUGCACAAUCUCACGAUUUAAUCAUGCUGAUAACAUGAAAGUCCUUGUGCCAUUCUAUACUUGGCAUAAUCUCUACAUCAAUAGUUCACCAGUUCACUAAUAUAAAUUCAAUAUAUUUUUGAACCAGUCCAUAUAUUAUUAUGCACAAUGUAGUAUAGUUAAUUUGACCAUAUUUGAGAAGUUAGGGUGUAUUUCAUUACACAGACACUGCUGAAUUUUAGGUUACAUGCCAUUGGAUUGAUAUAUAAAAAACACUUGUAAAACACACAUUAUCUUAAGUUCUUUGUAUGUUUGCAUGGUGAUAAAAUAUAAUAGGUUUUGUUUGUGGAAACACCAUGUAAAUUUAUUACUGCAAAGCUUUCGAUCCGUAAGCCCGGAUCUUCAUCAGUGCUAAUAAUAUGUUAUUAUUAGCACUGAUGAAGAUCCGGGCUUACGGAUCGAAAGCUUUGCAGUAAUAAAUUUACGUGGUGUUUCCACAAACAAAACCUAUUACACAUUAUCUUGUUGAUAGAAUAGUUAUUUGCAGUAUACUAACUGUUGGCAUACUCUAUUUCAGGACUAUCAAUUGUUUUUGUCACUGGCAGUCUUUGAAAUACAAUCUUGCUCUGUGGCCUUUACUGACAAGUUGGCUUUUACUACAUAUGUGGCACUGACACUUCUUUAAUUAAUGCACCAGUCAAUGUAAACCCCCCAACCAGGGAGGGGCAGGGAUUUUGAAUUGGAGGGGUAGUAAAAGAGCGAAAUUGUCCCCACCCCCAGGGACAUCAAUGUCCCCCAGGGUCUUAGCUAGAGGGCCGUGUUAGCCGUGUUAUCACAGCCAAAAAUGGAAAAACACGGCUAGAUAAAAUGAACGCGGCUUCAUUAUUUAUAUAAGGUCGUGUAUGUUCAUAAAAUAAGAUGUGCUACUUGCAACAGACAGAAUUUAUUUCUAUUUACGUUAUAAGAAAGUUUGUAAAAUCUGUUGUUGUUGAAAUUGGCAAAAGUGAUCUGUGAUGUUUUAAUGUUUUGAUGGAUAAUGGGAACUGUAUGGUGUUAAAAUGGUUUUAAAUACCCCCAAGAGUUGCUGAAAUAACUUAAUAUUUUAAUGUCAGUGAGCAAAAUGAGUAUAUGCUUGCCUUGUAUUUGGUUGCAAAGCAUAGAACAACCAUAGGCAUUGUCCGUUGUUGUAGAACCGUAAAAUUAGCUAUGCAAGGUAAUUGACAUGUGCACACCCUGGUAAUUUAGAAACACACCCAAGAUCUAAAAUCCUAGCUAAGACCCUGAUGUCCCCUGCAUGUCUCUCAACCCCAGGAAAAUAGUUUUGUAUAAUCAUAGAUCAGCAAUAGAAAAUCAAAUUAAUUUAUGUUGUUGUAUUUAAACUUUUCUUGUCAAGAAAACUAAAACAGCAACACAGGAUAUAUAUGUUAACCACUGUCCAAGUCUCCCAUCAUCGGGGACAAAUUUAUAAUCAAAACUGACCACUUUCCCCGCUAAACCUUCCGCCCCUCCCCGGUUGGGGGCAGGGAUUUACAUUGACUGGUGCAUAACUAGAUGAUUGCAUGAAGCAUUGCAUGGAAGUUGAUUUAUAAUUAGUUUAUGAAUAAACUCACACUUUCAUUAUAAUGGUUAAUCGAAUAUAUCAAAUGCAUUUGAUUGGUUGAUGGUCCCUUAAUGGUAAUCAAAUCUGAACCUAUAUAAUGUCAAUAUACUGGAAAAGUAUCAAAUUAAAUUUUAAUUGUCAAUGUUGUGGGAAGUAAAUAAAUCAAACAAUUCUGUUUCAA
rnacentral:lncRNA from 1 species